rnacentral:rRNA from 1 species
GACAGAGGGUGCAAACGUUGCUCGGAAUCACUGGGCGUAAAGGGCGUGUGGGCGGGAAGGAAAGUCGGGCGUGAAAUCCCUGGGCUCAACCCAGGAACUGCACUCGAAACUUCUUUUCUUGAGUGCCGGAGAGGAAAGCGGAAUUCCUGGUGUAGAGGUGAAAUUCGUAGAUAUCAGGAGGAACACCAGUGGCGAAGGCGGCUUUCUGGACGGUAACUGACGCUGAGACGCGAAAGCGUGGGGAGCAAACAGG